GGAUAUGUAGCUCAGUGGUAAAAGCGUCGGAUCGUAAGCAGGAGAUGCAGGUUUAAUCCCUGCUAGGUGCA